AGCAGCCGCGGUAAUUCCAGCUCCAAUAGCGUAUAUUAAAGUUGUUGCAGUUAAAAAGCUCGUAGUUGAAUUUCGGGAUCAGAUUGUCGGUCGUGCCUCGGUACGCACUGGCAUUAUUGGUUCCUACCUUCUGAAGAACCGCGAUGUCAUUAAUUUGGUGUCGUGAGGAAUCAGGACUGUUACUUUGAAAAAAUUAGAGUGUUUAAAGCAGGCGCACGCUUGAAUACAUUAGCAUGGAAUAAUGAAAUAGGACGUUUGAUUCUAUUUUGUUAGUUUCUAGGAUCACCGUAAUGAUUAAUAGGGAUAGUUGGGGGCAUUAGUAUUCAAUUGUCAGAGGUGAAAUUCUUGGAUUUAUUGAAGACUAACUUCUGCGAAAGCAUUUGCCAAGGAUGUUUUCAUUAAUCAAGAACGAAAGUUAGGGGAUCGAAGACGAUCAGAUACCAUCGUAGUCUUAACCAUAAACUAUGCCGACUAGGAAUCGGACGAAGUUAAUUUUUAAUGACUCGUUCGGCGCCUUAAC
rnacentral:rRNA from 1 species